GUAUCUAGUUAAGACAGAUUGAUUGAUUUGACGUAUCUAAGAAAAAAAAAUGCUUUAACCGUGAUUAUCAAAACAAUGUUUUUCACUACGAUUUAAACUUUUUUCUUUGUACCUCAAAUAAUUAAAUCUAUGUCGAGUAGCUAAAAACUGUUUACACUAAAAGGACAACGAACAAAAUGAACAUAUUAUACCAGUGUUACGAUUCUUAAAUUGCCUUCACAAGGAACUAGAGAGACCAAAUAAUUUUGAAUCCCCAAG
rnacentral:lncRNA from 1 species